rnacentral:hammerhead_ribozyme from 1 species
AUCCAGGUGACGAGUCUCAAAUAAGACGAAAUGCGCGUCCUGUAU